UGCAGCCCUAGUCCACUGAGGGCAUUGGCACCUCUACUGCAAAACAGAUGAGUGCAUCAUGAAUCUCUCUUCGUGAACAGCUUGUCUGCCUGUUUAUGGAGCUCUGCAGGCAAUCAAGCCAAACAAAUCCAUGAAUCAAUCAUUUGCAUCUGCAUUGCAAGAGAUGCAGUUAACAACAAAGGAAAACUUUACAGAUGCUGGAGAGGGCGAGACCAACAAUAAGAUUGUAAUCCAGUAAGAGCUCUAAAAGAGGCCAGGCUAGUAGCUUGAAGACGUAUGACCAUCUCCCAUAGUAACACUGGGAAACUUGGAGAAAUGCCUGUAACUUCAAGCUUUCU